rnacentral:rRNA from 1 species
UGGGGAAUAUUGCACAAUGGGCGAAAGCCUGAUGCAGCGACGCCGCGUGAGGGAUGACGGCCUUCGGGUUGUAAACCUCUUUCAGCAGGGACGAAGCGCAAGUGACGGUACCUGCAGAAGAAGCACCGGCUAACUACGUGCCAGCAGCCGCGGUAAUACGUAGGGUGCAAGCGUUGUCCGGAAUUACUGGGCGUAAAGAGUUCGUAGGCGGUUUGUCGCGUCGUUUGUGAAAACCAGCAGCUCAACUGCUGGCUUGCAGGCGAUACGGGCAGACUUGAGUACUGCAGGGGAGGCUGGAAUUCCUGGUGUAGCGGCGAAAUGCGCAGAUAUCAGGAGGAAGAACGGUGGCGAAGGCGGGUCUCUGGGCAGUAACUGACGCUGAGGAACGAAAGCGUGGGUAGCGAACAGG